rnacentral:rRNA from 1 species
AUACGUAGGGGGCAAGCGUUGUCCGGAUUCACUGGGCGUAAAGCGCGCGCAGGCGGUGAUGUAAGUCUGAGGUGAAAACCCGAAGCUCAACUUCGGGACUGCCUUGGAUACUGCGUCACUUGAGGAUAGGAGAGGCAAGGGGAAUUCCACGUGUAGUGGUGAAAUGCGUAGAGAUGUGGAGGAACGCCUGUGGCGAAGGCGCCUUGCUGGCCUAUUUCUGACGCUGAGGCGCGAAAGCGUGGGGAGC